GUUGGGGAGGCCGAGUGGUUAAGGCGUUGGAUUAGAAAUCCAAUGGGAUCUUCCCGCGCAGGCCCGAAUCCUGCCCGCAACG
rfam:Nematostella vectensis strain CH2 x CH6 NEMVEscaffold_452_Cont27648, whole genome shotgun sequence.